rnacentral:misc_RNA from 1 species
CUUUAAAACCACACACCGUUUACGGAACCUUCAACUUCAAUUCCCAAACACUAAAUUUUUCGAUUUUCGCGGCUACCAAACACAUUCUAUUUUCUAGCUACCAAAUCGAUUUUCCGCUUAUUCAAAGCUAAAUUUUCUCUCUGGAUUUUAUUUGGAAUUUUGGUGCUUUCUUUUCCCGAUUUGAGGUCCAUCCACCUGCCAGAUCUUAGAUUGUCGAUAAUAUUUAGAUUUUUCGUUUUUUGAUAUGGAGGUGUCGGUGAUCGGAAGCUCUCAGGCCGCUAUUUGCAAAAGCGAAUUAGUGAAUAAAGAGUUGAGGUUCUGUUUUCCUCGAAGAAACUGUACUAAUGUGUCUUUCUUUGAUUCAAGAACGAGGUGGAGAAGAAACUCUGGCCUUCACUUUACCUUAAAUGCGAUCCAAACAGAACCCGUCCUCUCCGAUGAUCUCUCGACUCGGGGUUGUGCUUCCAGGUCCAAAUCGCUCGAUGAUGUAAGAUUAUAUGUUGGACUGCCCUUGGAUGCAGUUUCUGACUGCAAUUCGAUCAACCAUGCUAGAGCAAUCUCUGUAGGACUUAAAGCUUUGAAAUUAUUAGGAGUUGAAGGUGUGGAGAUGGCUGUGUGGUGGGGAAUAGCUGAGAAGGAAGCAAUGGGCAAAUACGAGUGGGAAGGCUACCUUAAUCUUGCAAAGAUGGUUCAGAGUGCUGGUCUCAAACUUCAUGUGUCUUUCUGCUUCCACGCUAAUGAACAACCUAAAAUCCCACUCCCUGAGUGGGU